CCUACGGGCGGCAGCAGUGAGGAAUAUUGGUCAAUGGUCGGGAGACUGAACCAGCCAAGCCGCGUGAGGGAUGAAGGUACAGAGUAUCGUAAACCUCUUUUGUCAGGGAACAAAGGCGGGGACGUGUCCCCGGAUGAGUGUACCUGAAGAAAAAGCAUCGGCUAACUCCGUGCCAGCAGCCGCGGUAAUACGGAGGAUGCGAGCGUUAUCCGGAUUUAUUGGGUUUAAAGGGUGCGCAGGCGGUCUGGUAAGUCAGCGGUCAAAGCCCGGGGCUCAACCCCGGCCCGCCGUUGAAACUGGCAGUCUUGAGUUGGAGAGAGGUAUGCGGAAUGCGCGGUGUAGCGGUGAAAUGCAUAGAUAUCGCGCAGAACUCCGAUUGCGAAGGCAGAAUGCCGGCUACACACUGACGCUGAGGCACGAAAGCGUGGGUAUCGAACAGGAUUAGAUACCCCGGUAGUC
rnacentral:rRNA from 1 species